GCUAUUUAAAUUCUGCAUCUGUCUUACUUACAAGCAAUGCGUACGAAAAUAUUGAAAAUUUAGGUUAACUGUCUUAAAAAUGCGGCUCAGAGAAUGUUCGUGAAGUGAAAGCAAUUAUUGGCCUGUGGCUUUACAGGAGUUCUGUUCUGUCCAAUUUGCCAAAAAGUUAUCUACAGCUGUAUGUCUCAUCUCAUGCUGACACCUGUCACAGAAAAAAUCUGCUCAUCUGCAAAAAGUCAAACACGAAUGUUAUGAAUUUCGUACUAUAGUGGUCAAUGGAGUUGGCCCUGGUUGCCGUUACUGGCCUUUUGCGACGUCUUGAUAUCAGUUUCGAAUAAUAGCUCUGUGAACUUGAGGAAUCCUCACUCAUACUCGAGUGAACCUGCAGAAAGGUCUGCCAGUUUGUCCAGACAGGAUGUCCUUCUCGCUUGAAGGUCACGAGAAAAUUACGUAAAACUGGCAUGCGGUGGUGUAGAGGUUGGGUGAGAAUGACACGUGUUUCAUCGUUAUCA